rnacentral:rRNA from 1 species
UACGUAGGGGGCAAGCGUUGUCCGGAUUUAUUGGGCGUAAAGCGCGUGUAGGCGGCUUGGUAGGUCAGCUGUGAAAACUCGAGGCUCAACCUCGAGACGUCGGUUGAAACCACCUGGCUAGAGUCCGGAAGAGGAGAGUGGAAUUCCCGGUGUAGCGGUGAAAUGCGCAGAUAUCGGGAAGAACACCCGUGGCGAAGGCGGCUCUCUGGGACGGUACUGACGCUGAGACGCGAAAGCGUGGGGAGCGAACAGG